rnacentral:rRNA from 1 species
GGGGAAUUUUGGACAAUGGGGGCAACCCUGAUCCAGCCAUGCCGCGUGAGUGAAGAAGGCCUUCGGGUUGUAAAGCUCUUUCGGCCGGGAAGAAAUCGUGCAGGCUAAUACCCUGUAUGGAUGACGGUACCGGAAUAAGAAGCACCGGCUAACUACGUGCCAGCAGCCGCGGUAAUACGUAGGGUGCGAGCGUUAAACGGAAUUACUGGGCGUAAAGCGUGCGUAGGCGGUGUUUUAAGACAGGCGUGAAAUCCCCGGGCGCAACCUGGGAACUCCGCAUGUGACUGCAAGACUAUAGUACGGCAGAGGGGGGUGGGAUUCCCCGUGUAGCAGUGAAAUGCGUAGAGAUGUGGAGGAACACCAAUGGCGAAGGCAGCCCCCUCGGUCGAUACUGACGCUCAUGCACGAAAGCGUGGGGAGCAAACA